AAAUUUAUUAUAAUAUUUAAAUAUAAAUAAUAUAUAUUAAUAUAGUACAAUUAAUAAUUUUAUAAUAAAAAUAAUGUAUUAUAAUAUAUAACAUAUUAUAUUUAUAAUUUUGUUUUAAUUCAAUUUAUAAUUUUAAUUAAGUAUGAAAUUAAGCAUUGGAAUAGUACUAUUCCCCCAAAAUGGUGGAAUAGCAAAUCCCUUACUAUUCCGGAAUAACUGGGAAUAGCAAGGUUUGACCGGAAUAAAAUAUCCCGGUGAAACAUCAGCCCGUUUGGCGGAAUAGCGNAAUAGCGGAAAAGGGUUUCCGAUAUUAGAAACUCGAGUCGAAUAAAUUUAACAUAUGACAAACGAUGGGGUUUGACGAGUUAUUCCAUAACCUCCGCCUAGUCGGGACUCAUGAUAGAAGGAUUGUAUCAACGGUAACUGCACAAGGAGGUUCAGUAUUCCAUUCUACUGGAAUGCCACUACAUGCUGCUAAGCGUCACUGGUGGAUUGUGAGACUCGUGAGAAUUAUCUAGAUGAUCGAUAAUUCUCAUUGGGCUGAGUUGGAAUUGUUCCGAUCCACUGAAAGGAGUUUCAGUGAUAUUGUUGAUAGUGAUCAAAAUAUAUCUCACUACCAGAUAGAAUAGAACCUAUGGGGUCAUACACAUAAGAGGUUGUGAUUGAUCGGAUAGCUAGAUCGCGAUUAUUGAAUCGCCGGAGGACCUAAUUGUCAAUAUGUUGAUAAUUGGACUAAUUUGUAAUUGUUACAAAUUAGUGGUAUUAAAGUGUAAAUGUUACAAGAGAGGACUUACUAAUAGUUAGUGUGGACGUUUUGUGGAUUAGGGACAUUGCGUUCGUGGAUUCGAACGUGGGCGUGGACUAGCCGUUGGUGUGCGCGAGAUCUAAAGAAGAUAAAAAAAGAGGUUUGAGUACGUGGAUUAGUAAUCACCUUAUCAUCUUUUUUACUCUUAGUGGAUUGUUAUCGCGUAUUGGUCCCGUGAGUCAGUAAUCACUUUGUUAUCUUUUAUUUGUUGCAUCGAGUUGGUUAUUUUUAUUGUUUACACCUAUUCAUCCCCCUCUAAAUGAUUGAUAGUAUCUAGAUAGAUCCUUGGGAUCCCCAUAACUAACAAUUCUAAUAGAACAAUUUCUUAAUCUUUUAGGUAUCUUUUGGUUCGGGGAUAAGCAAAAAGCGGCUAUUCCAGGAAUAGGUAUAAAUUGAGGUAUAAGCAGGGAUUAAAUCAAUUUUGCGUUUGGAUGAAAAUUGGGUUAUUCCUGGGAAUAAAAAAAAUAGCGUUUGGUUAGGUAAGAUGGAAUAAGAAGAAUAGUGGGUUUUUAUAAAUAAAAAAUAACGCAUUACCCUUUUAUUAUAUUUGAAUUCGAAUUUUUAAAAUUUUAAAUUUAUAUUUUUUAAUUUAAAAUUUUAACUUUGAAAUUUCAAAAUUUGAAAUUAAAAUUUGAAAUUUAAAAUCUUAAAUUUUAAAUUCAAAAUUUUAAAUUUUAAAUUUAAGAUCAAAUUUAAAUUUGAAAAUAUAAAAUAUCAAAUUUUAAAUUUCAAAAUUUUAAAAUAUCAAAAUUUAAAUUUUAUAAUUUAAACUUAUAAACUUUAAUUUUGAGAUUAUAAAUUAUAAAUUUUAAAAAUGUAAAUUUUUAAUUUUUAAAUUUUUAAAAUAAAAAUAGGGGUGGGAACAAUUAAUAAAAAUAAUUUAUUAUAAUAAAUUUAUAAAUUUUUUUAAAAUUCAACUUAAACUUAAAUUUAAUAAAAAAAAUUUAUUAUAAUACUUGAAUAAAAUUUAUUAUAAUAUUUAAAUAUAAAUAAUAUAUAUUAAUAUAGUACAAUUAAUAAUUUUAUAAUAAAAAUAAUGUAUUAUAAUAUAUAACAUAUUAUAUUUAUAAUUUUGUUUUAAUUCAAUUUAUAAUUUUAAUUAAGUAUGAAAUUAAGCAUUGGAAUAGUACUAUUCCCCCAAAAUGGUGGAAUAGCAAAUCCCUUACUAUUCCGGAAUAACUGGGAAUAGCAAGGUUUGACCGGAAUAAAAUAUCCCGGUGAAACAUCAGCCCGUUUGGCGGAAUAGCGGGGAU
rnacentral:lncRNA from 1 species